CCCUGUAGCUCAGUUGGUAGAGCAUGGUGUUUGCAACACCAGGGGCUGUGGGUUCGAUUCCCACAGGGG
rnacentral:tRNA from 1 species